CGCGAGGUAGAGCUAUAAAUAUCAGGACUCAGGAGUCGUUUCCUUCCGUCGUUUCCUCGUAACCGGAGUCUCUCUCCCUUGGUCUUUCUUUAUCGAGUCGCGGCCAUGGCGUCGGAGGGGCAAAACCCUCCUCUACAAUGCAGUCCGUUCCAUCUCCAUCGGCGCCUGGCUGGACCUCCCCCUCCUCGCCUAACUCCGCUGCGGCCCCCGGCACUCUCCCCGCUUCGCGGCCACCUGAUAUAUAUUUAAGUCCUCCGACGGCCACACCAACAAGUGGUCCUUCGGCACCUCUCGCCUCAACUUGCCCACCUCGCCGGUAGUCCCAAAGUCAAACCACUAAUCAUAGCAUUGCCGAUGGUGAUACUGCUUUGAAUGCCAUUCAGCAUUGGAUAACAAAAGUUUGUGCUGGUGACAUAAUAUCUAUUAGCGGGAUCUUUUGAUUGUGGCAAGUCUUUCAUGCACACAAAUAUUGCCAUGGGGGACUCCGGAGAUGAGGAGUUCCCUGAUAUAUAUUUACAAGUUUGCAGCAAAUGCUAACCCCAUCCAGAGGAACUCUAAAGCAGGUUCUCUGUUUUCUCAGAAGACAGAGAAUAUGAUGCCUGAUGUCAAUUUUUCUUAGAUUGCCUGCUAUGUCUUAUUGUCUCUUGUAAAGCAUGAGAGAAACUGAUCUUGUUCUUCGUUCAAGGUAAAUUUCCUGUGCACUAUUAGAUCAACAGCCAGACUGGCCAUGAUUGUUGUAUGUAUAUGUUGUUGAUGCAUUUAAAAUAAUAUUAUGGGAUAUUGAAAUUCAUUUUUUUUUAUGUCAUACAGUUCAUUUCAGUGUAUUAAGAUUUUAAUCUUAUACUUUUUCAUUUUGUAUUGUUUCUUGCAAAUGUGCCUGGGUACCCUUUUAAUAUAAAUGUCAUGCUGAUAUUGUUUAAAAUUACAAUUGCGUCAUCUGCUGCAUAGAUGGUUCACAUUCAUUAGUUCCGCGACAUGUAAGAGCUCUAUGUGCAGGCUUUCAAAAGAUCAAACUUUAAAGUGCUUGGUGAGAGGUAGACAGAUACAGCAGAAUUGGGAGGGUAAUUGCAAUGCAUGAUAUCAAGCGACAUCCCAUGAUGCCAGCACAAUCUUCACCCUGCAAUAAGAGCAUUUUUUGGAUGGAGAUGUACAACUGAAUCUCAUCUUUGUAAGGUGUAAAAGCCUGGAAAGGAAAGCUGAUGAGUGAUGUCAUGUGAAAGCGUCGCCUAUCUGCCUUUCCUUGUAGUUGCAUUCUCAAAUCCAUGCAUUACUGAGCUGUCUGUGUAGUUCCUCACUUGGAGUGGAGUAUAACAAUCUGGUUACAUAACUAUUCUCAGAUGGUCUCAUAUGGAGUAUAGAUUUAUGAUCUUUUUACAAUAUUUAGAUAAGAUAGAAGUAAGAAGCAUCAUCCAGCACAGGACACAAAAACCAAACUAUGAUCAGUGAGUAUGGUUUGCACUGAAACUUUGCUUCUAUGAUUUCUGAAAUAGCUUCUUUUGUAAUGCUGUCACACAUUUCCGAAUGUGGAGUAUGGACAUAUGACGUUUAUACUUAUUUUGAUGAGAUAAAGUAAGAAAAGUCAUCCGGCACAGUGCACAUAAAUCAAACUAUGAUCAGUAUGGUUGCAGUGAAGCUCCUCGUCUAUGAUUUCUGAAGUAGCUUCUCUUGUAACUCUGUCACACAUUCCUAUUUAAUCAAUACCUGUUUCCACCAAUUCAUGUAUCUUUUUUUUUUCUUUCAGUUCACUGUUUGGUCUUACAGAAUUUUACAUUUAUGUACAGGCAUGCAUGAACUACCAGGAAGUCAGUAACUGAUGUAUACCAACUAUAAUUUUUUUCUUUUUAAAUGUUCGCUCUUUCUCGGGUACUCAUGGUUAGUGGAAACUUUGGAAAGAAUGCAUGGAUUCACCCAGGAUGCCAUCUUUGUGAUGACAAUAGUCUUCACUGCUUAGUUUAGAAUUUUCAAAUUUGAGCUUUGCUGCCAUUUAGCUUGAAAGAUUUAACUCUACUAUGUAAACUGGUUCAUGAAUGCAUGUGGUCUUUAUUACUUGUUGCGUGAAUGCGUGCGCUUCUGGUUCUUCCAAUUCAGUGCUGUCUCUUGUCAUAAAUCACUGAGGGACUGUAUAUCUGCCUGCCAAUGUCUACAGGGUUCUUGACCAUUGAAUUUAUAGUGAACAUCCAAUGGAGUGCAUGCAUGUCUUAUGUCUUAAAGCGAAAGCAAUCUAGAAUGCACUAGCUAAAUGGAGUGGCGUGCCUAUGAGAAGCCAUAGAAUUGAUCUGAGUCCUCAGCUUGCCUAAUAGCUUUCCUUUGGUCAGAGAGAGAGAAAGAGAUGCCCGGGCCUAAUUUUGCAAUUCUUUAUGGGCUGUCCCAUGGUGGCUGAAAAUCAAUCCUAUGCAUUCCGUACCUACAUGCAGAAUGCUCCAUGACCUUCAUUGGCAGCAUUAAAUCCAGAAAUUGGCCUUCUGGCACUGAGGUGGUUUCAGUCUGUUAUGUGGACUCGGGAUUGUGUGCUGGGUACAAGUGCAUGUUGUAUUCAUGUGAUUAUUUCAGUAUCGAAGAAUUUCUUCUGACAGAACCAUGUCAGUGUCCUAUACUAGUGUGUAGGUUUGGGUGUCGGGUGCAGGUAUCUAGGGUAACUUGAAGGGUACGGGUAGCAUAGGUUUCAGUUGAAGCUUCACCAAGCUUAGGGGCUCUGGAGGCAUCCAGUGUGGUGCAGAUGUGAGAUGAGCUGACAAGAUGCUGGUUGACUAGGAAAGCGGACAGUGAACUGGGUGGCCAAAAAUUCUGUUCAAAUCUAUAGCUUGCUGUCAGCAAAACCAAUGAACUUCAUGAAUAUUAUAUUAACCAAUAUAAUACCUCUGUGAUGGCUUAGAGCAAAUCCAGAUUGAUCAACCAGCUAGGCUUGUAUGAACUCACCUGUCAAUCAGCAAAGAUGCUGGAAUGCAGUCAGUUCCAACACCAAGCUUUACCUAGUACCCAAAUUGGUGCUCCUAGAGUGUUGCUUGAGUUCUAUUGAGAUGAUGUGUUUCCCUAGGAUAAAUAAGGGUCCGAACUCCAAUAACAGGACUACUUUUAGAUGUGUUUGCCGAUCUGUGAUUUAGAGAUCUGCAGUGGAAUGAAGAUGACAAGCAAAUUAAGAGGAUUUAGGAAGGAAAAGAUAGGCUCUGUUCUGGUUCUUAGCACCUGAGGUGGUAUUAGUUGUAAGCCCAUUUAGUAUAGAUGCAUGUAAGCUUAUACUAGUAAUAUUGUAUAUGUAUUUUUUUGAUAGGUCAAGAAGAUGAUAUUCUUGAAGUUCAAGUUGGUUCUAUUUCGACCCACUUUCUUCACUGUAAUGUUUAUUAUGUGUUUAGCUUGUUUUUAGAUUCUUAGGGGGGUUAAAUUAAUGAAAUCAUUGGACUCCAUCUUUCUCUUCAAUUGGUAUUUUGUUUAUGAAACUUAAUACAGGCUAAGGUCUGUGAAUUGUGAAGAAUAAAUUUCUAAGACUUUUGUUCCCCAGAUCUCUCCCGUCUAAUUUCUGUACUUCAUGCGCUCUGUUUGGGUCAUCAUUUUGGUCAAAUCCAUUAAGGCCUCAUCCAUUAGUGUGGUGCUUCUUGUUGACGAGAGAGAGAGGUGCAAGUCUUCUGGUUAUCUCUCAUUUUCUUUAAAACUCGUAUACUGUCAUAAUUAGACCAAGGGUUGAAAACUGACUGUACUCUGUGGUAUGAUACUCCCCACACCGAGGCAUGCUGAGAUGUAUCGAGUGUGUAUCAUACCAGUAUUUCAAACCUUGGGCAAACUAUGAAUAGAUAUGUGGAUGUGCCACUGUUAAGUACCUUGCCUAGAUGUGACCAAUAUUACCCUUGUACCGGAAUAUUUAAAUUUCAAACCCUGAUUUAGUCAAAUCUAACGGUUCCAAUUUAUUGUCAUUUUCUUGAGGUACAGGUUGCAACAAUGGGAAAUUCUCGUUGGCAAAGGCUAUUUGAAGGUGAGUGAUGUUUCGCUCAGACUAGUAUCAAUUAGCUUAGGGUUCGAAGGAAACCUUUUUUUUUUUCUCCCUCAAAAGGAAACAAGAUUUGAGCUUCUUAGAAGAUUCAACUUCAACUGCAAAUGUUGUUAGACCUUCCUCUUCUCAUUCCCAUCCUUAUUCUCUUGUCCAGUGUACUUCUUGAAGUUCACAGAUGUUGCCGAAUCCCUGGCUUGUCUUGACCCUGUUUGGACUGAUGACUAGAAUGUUCGCUUAAGCCUUCUGCAUUAGCCUUCGCUUAGUGCAUAUUUGUUUUUCAGUUCAUUCUUUUAGGAUCAAAAUCUUGAAUCUUCUGCACAGCCAUAGAUAUUCUGCCGGUAACCACUGUGUGCCAACUAUAAUCUCUGCAUGAAAAGUUCACAGUAUAUCUUUGAUCUUCCUAAUUAGUGUAAGAUCAGAUAAAACAUAUUGGAUCCACUCAAUAUCAUCGGCAUUACAGGAACAGCUUUCAGUAUUUGGAACCAGUCUGUCACUAUUGCUACAUUGCUAUUAACUCAAAAGAAAUAUCAAUCCACUACCUGAAUGACGCAUGAAUGCAUGUAUGCAUUCGAAUCGUCUAAAUUAAUGUAACCAUCAAUGCACAACUUUAGGUAAUUUAGAACUAUCCAAAUUAGUACAACUCUCGAACCUUCGACAUUGUUGCCGGCUUUUGAGUACCUCAUGCCCGCUUAGUGAUAUCAACAAUUCUCUCGACCUUUCGAUACUUUUGUGAUGAUGCGGCAAUUUCAGGUAUUUGCAUGGUCUACCGUAGCACUCGAAUCUUCUACCGCAUUGCGAUCAUUUAUUGAUGUUUUCCAUAUUUGACAUGUGGUAUCUACAAGACUCAAAUCAGAUGGUUGAUAUAGCAAUUUCUAUCCACACUCUCGAAACUCCGAUACAGAGAACAAUGCCCUUUCUGACUAUAUCUAUCCACGCUCUAGAAACUUCGAUACGGAGAGAGUUCAAUGUAUGAGGAAAGAAAAAUCUAGAAUAAACUAGCUAAUUCGAGUGAUAUAUAUAAAGUGGCAUAGAGUUGGCAAGAGUCCUCACCUUGCAGCGUAGCAAUUCUUUGGAGAGAGAUGGUAUUGCUGAAGACAUCCUAUCAUUUGUUGGUUAUUACACGACCAAAACCACCAUGGGAAAAGGAAUGCAAUCAUAUAAGAAUCUGUCCCAUACCAUCCAUACCUAAAUGACGGGUGGUUCUUGUUCUUCCAUGGUGAGCUUCUUCGUUCUUCCAUGACUUCCCGCUCCAGGUUUUUCUGGAGUAGAGAGCAGGCUAAAUCCAUGGAAAUGGUGCACUUCAGCCAACAACGAAUCCUUGCCAAGGAGAUAUCCUUCUCGGUAGGAAAGACGACACGGAUGGUGGCAAGAAGGACAGCCAGAGAACUAAUGAGCGAGCUCACUUUGGAGGAGCAUGGGCCCAGUCUAUAAAUGGAAAGGAGGAUGAGGAAUUAAACUUUUGACGAGGAAAUAUCUAGAAGAAGCAUAACAAGAGAAUAAACCAAUGGAGAGUAGCAAUAGAAAAGGAAAAUCUUCUGCAUUGCACGUUAAACGGAAUGCAAUAUGUUAAGCAGCAUGGGAGUCGACCAUGGGAAGCACUAACCCGUCAAAAAAUAUUGUUGCUCGUUACAAGGUCAAGAAGGCCUUAGAGUUUUGUAUAAUACUCAAAAACUCGUCUUGGAGAGAGAAAAAGUUUAAAGGGGGACACAUCUGUCCUGAAGGAUACAUCCAUGUUGGUUUCGUCUCCUCUUACCUUCCUUUUGCUGGUUUUAGCUUCUUGCAAUGAAUUUGUACUCCCUUCAUUUUUUCAAUGAGAUAGGUGAAACUUCUCUCACCCAUUUUCUU